rnacentral:rRNA from 1 species
CACUAUCGUUAACUGAAUACAUAGGUUAACGAGGCGAACCGGGGGAACUGAAACAUCUAAGUACCCCGAGGAAAAGAAAUCAACCGAGAUUCCCCCAGUAGCGGCGAGCGAACGGGGAGCAGCCCAGAGUCUGAAUCAGCUUGUGUGUUAGUGGAACGGUCUGGAAAGUCCGACGGUACAGGGUGAUAGUCCCGUACACCAAAAUGCACAGGUUGUGAACUCGAAGAGUAGGGCGGGACACGUGGUAUCCUGUCUGAAUAUGGGGGGACCAUCCUCCAAGGCUAAAUACUCCUGACUGACCGAUAGUGAACCAGUACCGUGAGGGAAAGGCGAAAAGAACCCCGGCGAGGGGAGUGAAAAAGAACCUGAAACCGUGUACGUACAAGCAGUGGGAGCACCUUCGGGUGUGACUGCGUACCUUUUGUAUAAUGGGUCAGCGACUUAUAUUCUGUAGCAAGGUUAACCGUAUAGGGGAGCCGCAGGGAAACCGAGUCUUAACUGGGCGUUAAGUUGCAGGGUAUAGACCCGAAACCCGGUGAUCUAGCCAUGGGCAGGUUGAAGGUUGGGUAACACUAACUGGAGGACCGAACCGACUAAUGUUGAAAAAUUAGCGGAUGACUUGUGGCUGGGGGUGAAAGGCCAAUCAAACCGGGAGAUAGCUGGUUCUCCCCGAAAGCUAUUUAGGUAGCGCCUCGUGAACUCAUCUUCGGGGGUAGAGCACUGUUUCGGCUAGGGGGUCAUCCCGACUUACCAACCCGAUGCAAACUACGAAUACCGAAGAAUGUUAUCACGGGAGACACACGGCGGGUGCUAACGUCCGUCGUGAAGAGGGAAACAACCCAGACCGCCAGCUAAGGUCCCAAAGUCAUGGUUAAGUGGGAAACGAUGUGGGAAGGCACAGACAGCCAGGAUGUUGGCUUAGAAGCAGCCAUCAUUUAAAGAAAGCGUAAUAGCUCACUGGUCGAGUCGGCCUGCGCGGAAGAUGUAACGGGGCUAAACCAUGCACCGAAGCUGCGGCAGCGACACUAUGUGUUGUUGGGUAGGGGAGCGUUCUGUAAGCCUGCGAAGGUGUGCUGUGAGGCAUGCUGGAGGUAUCAGAAGUGCGAAUGCUGACAUAAGUAACGAUAAAGCGGGUGAAAAGCCCGCUCGCCGGAAGACCAAGGGUUCCUGUCCAACGUUAAUCGGGGCAGGGUGAGUCGACCCCUAAGGCGAGGCCGAAAGGCGUAGUCGAUGGGAAACAGGUUAAUAUUCCUGUACUUGGUGUUACUGCGAAGGGGGGACGGAGAAGGCUAUGUUAGCCGGGCGACGGUUGUCCCGGUUUAAGCAUGUAGGCUGGUUGUCCAGGCAAAUCCGGAUAAUCAAGGCUGAGGUGUGAUGACGAGGCACUACGGUGCUGAAGUAACAAAUGCCCUGCUUCCAGGAAAAGCCUCUAAGCAUCAGGUAACAUUAAAUCGUACCCCAAACCGACACAGGUGGUCAGGUAGAGAAUACCAAGGCGCUUGAGAGAACUCGGGUGAAGGAACUAGGCAAAAUGGUGCCGUAACUUCGGGAGAAGGCACGCUGGUGUGUAGGUGAAGUCCCUGCGGAUGGAGCUGAGACCAGUCGAAGAUACCAGCUGGCUGCAACUGUUUAUUAAAAACACAGCACUGUGCAAACACGAAAGUGGACGUAUACGGUGUGACGCCUGCCCGGUGCCGGAAGGUUAAUUGAUGGGGUUAUCCGUAAGGAGAAGCUCUUGAUCGAAGCCCCGGUAAACGGCGGCCGUAACUAUAACGGUCCUAAGGUAGCGAAAUUCCUUGUCGGGUAAGUUCCGACCUGCACGAAUGGCGUAAUGAUGGCCAGGCUGUCUCCACCCGAGACUCAGUGAAAUUGAACUCGCUGUGAAGAUGCAGUGUACCCGCGGCAAGACGGAAAGACCCCGUGAACCUUUACUAUAGCUUGACACUGAACAUUGAGCCUUGAUGUGUAGGAUAGGUGGGAGGCUUUGAAGCGUGGACGCCAGUCUGCGUGGAGCCAACCUUGAAAUACCACCCUUUAAUGUUUGAUGUUCUAACGUUGGCCCCUUACCGGGGUUGCGGACAGUGUCUGGUGGGUAGUUUGACUGGGGCGGUCUCCUCCCAAAGCGUAACGGAGGAGCACGAAGGUUAGCUAAUCCUGGUCGGACAUCAGGAGGUUAGUGCAAUGGCAUAAGCUAGCUUGACUGCGAGCGUGACGGCGCGAGCAGGUGCGAAAGCAGGUCAUAGUGAUCCGGUGGUUCUGAAUGGAAGGGCCAUCGCUCAACGGAUAAAAGGUACUCCGGGGAUAACAGGCUGAUACCGCCCAAGAGUUCAUAUCGACGGCGGUGUUUGGCACCUCGAUGUCGGCUCAUCACAUCCUGGGGCUGAAGUAGGUCCCAAGGGUAUGGCUGUUCGCCAUUUAAAGUGGUACGCGAGCUGGGUUUAGAACGUCGUGAGACAGUUCGGUCCCUAUCUGCCGUGGGCGCUGGAGAAUUGAGGGGGGCUGCUCCUAGUACGAGAGGACCGGAGUGGACGCAUCACUGGUGUUCGGGUUGUCAUGCCAAUGGCACUGCCCGGUAGCUAAAUGCGGAAGAGAUAAGUGCUGAAAGCAUCUAAGCACGAAACUUGCCCCGAGAUGAGUUCUCCCUGAGACUUUAAGUCUCCUGAAGGAACGUUGAAGACGACGACGUUGAUAGGCCGGGUGUGUAAGCGCAGCGAUGCGUUGAGCUAACCGGUACUAAUGAACCGUGAGGCUUAACCUU